rfam:Musca domestica strain aabys unplaced genomic scaffold Scaffold2365, whole genome shotgun sequence.
AUAUAGGUUUUUCUAAAAACCCACAACACUACCACACAAGUAAUA